rnacentral:rRNA from 1 species
UUUAAUUAUUUAGAAUGUAGCUAUCAUUAAUGUGUUGCCUUUUCUGUUGCCACUGCAGACACUCGUGAGUUAUUCUUUAUGAAUUGUUUUGGUUAUAGUUUGACUGCACCUGGCUAACAAAGGUUGGUUGUGCUUUUAUAAACUUAAAUUAAUCUGGGAGUAUACUGAUUGCGUCUUCAUGCCUUCUGUUGCUAGCUACUGUCUGAGCACUUCACUGAUCUGUAUUUCUGUGGAUUUAACUUUUGAAUUCUCUAGAAGUGUUGGGGUCUUUGUUUAUUUAAAAGUGUGCUGCGGCUUCCAUUUUGGAGAAGAUGGCUGCCCCAUUAUACUUGUUCUAUUUUAGUGAGCAGUAUUCUUGUGUCUUUUAUGUUGCAUUCCGCUUAUACAUUGGUUAUGUUAGUGCUCUUCAUUUCUGGUGGAUGCUACGUUAAUAUUUUUCAUGUAUAAAUGCAUGUAUUACCUAUUGUACAUGUUCUUCAUGUUGAGAGCACAUUUGCUUCAUGUCUAAUGCAUGCACAUGUAUUGUUAAAAUGUUAGUUUGACGACUUUUGCUAUCUUCAAGUUAGCGGGCCCCCGAGGGUGGAGAUGCCCCAUUUCCAUAUUCUGCUGUUCUGGCUUGGGAUAAGGGUGGCACGGUUGCCUUAUUGAGUAACUUUUCUCACCUGUGCGAUAUUGGGUCAGGGAAGGGACAGAAGCUUUGAAUGAUGUAUUCACCUGCCUCCCUCAAAGGUAUAGGACGGUGCAUGCCGGCUGAGGUGGGAAGCUGUUGUGCCCACCACUGGCACCUCUCAUCCACUCUGUUGGAGAGGUGGAGCAUGUGUGAUAGAAGGCAAAAGAUUGUGAACUAUGCCUGUGCAGGGCAAGACCAGAUGGAACUCUGGUGGAGGUCCGUAGUGGUCCGGACAUGAUUCGACUUGGGUAUAGGGCCAGAAGACUUAUCUAGUAGGUGGUUACCACCAAUGUUUCCCUUAGGAUUGCUGGCGCUCAGAUACCCCAAUUUUAUCUGGUGAAACAAAUGAUUUGAAGUCUUGGGGCCAAAGCGAUCUCAACCUGCUCUCAAACUUUACAUGGCUGAGGAGCCCUCGCUCACUGGCAUGAAGUCAGGGAUUGAAUGUUAGUGCCCACUGUGCCACUUUUGGUACGCAAAACUUGCGCUGCAGGAUGACCCGAACGCUAGGUUAAGUCACAUGAUACUGAUGAUCAUCAUGUCCCAGAAAUGGUGUUGGUUGAUAUAGACAGGAACACAGUGGCCAUGGAAGUCAGAAUCUGCUAAGGAGUGUGUAACAACGCACCAGUUGAAACAACUAGCUCUUGCAAUGGAUGGCACAGAGCAUCAGGCCCAUACCCAGAGGCUUCUGGGGCUGAGAGCUGCAGGGUCUAUGCAGCAAAAAGUAGGGGGACUCCUACGGUAUGCAUGGUAGUUCGGGGUGAGUGGCUUGUUGGAGCUGCCACAGGUUCAGAACUUGGUGGUGGUAGCAAAUAUUCAAAUUAGAAUUUUGAAGCCUGUAGUGGAGGAGGGUACUAUGUGAACAACUGUUGAACAUUGGUCAGGCGUUCCUAAGAGAUGGCCGAGCGCUGUUCGUAAGUGAUAUGCAAUGGCCUCCAUUGGCCCUCAACUGAUCGAAAGGGAGUCUGGUUCAGAUCCACGAACCAAGAGUGGCAUAGACAGGCACCCAUGUGGCAUUCAUUGCAGUAACACAAAUGUUCCUGGAGAAUUGGGCAUGCCCCCUGGUGAGAGUUCUAUUUUCUUUAUGAAGGGCAUGCUCAAAUGGAAAGCCCUGGAAAGCAUAGCGGUUUGGGCAGCGUACAGUGAGCUCUUGCCGAUCCUUGUUAAUCAGGGGAUAUGGUGUAAAUCUCGCACCAGGCCAUACCUAUAUGCAGGCAGUGCUCCAAGGUGAACCGCCUUUGGCAUAUUGGACUAAUGUAGGCAAGGGAAGUUGGUAAUUCAGAUCUGUAACUUUGGCAUGAGAAUUGGCGCUAAGGGCUGGGUGGGUCAGGCUGGUGCACAUAGCAGGGCUGGCCGUGCAUCAUGGCUGGAUGGGGCGCCUCCACCCUUGGUGGCAUGCUAACUCGGAACCCAAGCCAGGCCCUUCCUGUGGUCCUUGCCUGCUGUGGUGGUGGCCUCCCUCCAUUCCGCUCCUGGGGCUCAGACCAGCAUUCUCCCUCAGAAAAUGCCUAGCAGCUUACUUAGAACUGGUGCAGAAAAGGGCAAUCUGAUGGUUUAAUUGAAACUAGGCAUUACAAAGUCCUGUGGCAAAAGAAAUUCACUGAAGCACAGGUAAAUGGCAAGAGUAACUAUGACUCUCUUACAGUGGCUGGCCAAAUGCCAGGUCAUCUCAUUGGUGGCACGCUUAAUGGAUGAACAGUAUUUCACUUAACUUACCUAGCAUCUGGUAAACCACAGCCAAGGGAAUGGUUUGGCAGAAUCAGUGGGGAUAGGAGACCCUGUUGCACUUGACUUUAGUCUGGCACUGUGAGAAGACAUGAGUCAGGGGGGCAGCCAAGUGGGACUGUCACUUCUAGUUCCAAGCACACGUCUCUGGCCAGGCGCAAACGACUCCAGGGACAUUAGCAGGUGGGGAGCUUAACUGUGGCAGUACACAUGUCCUACAAUAAUACAGGUGUCCUAAGGCAAGCUCACUGAGGGAAAAGAAACAUCACACUGAGCUGAAGGGAAAAAGCUUGCUAGAUCUUGAUUUUGUGUAUGAAGUCAGACUAUGUAUGUGGGGCCUCACCAUACUUCUGACAUUUUGUGUUUCCAGCAGGAGGUGUCAGAAAAUGGCACAGGAAUAACAGUCUUGUAGCAUCCAAGCAUUCAUAGCGACAUUGCAUUUUGAUCCCUCUAUGUUGGCUCUUCCUAUCAUUGUGAAGCAGAAUCCAGCGAACGUUGGAUUGUUCACCCACUAAUAGGGAACGUGAGGUGGGUUUAUACCAUUGUGUGAAAGGUUUGCUUUACCCGACUGAUGAUGUGCUAUUGCAAUAGUAUCCUGCUCAGUACACGAGGAACCACAUGUUGAGACAUUUGGUGAAUGUGCUUGGCUGAGGAACCAAUGAGGCGAAGCUGCCACCUGUGGGAUUAUGACUGAAUGCCUCUAAGUAAGAAUCCCCCAUAAACUGUAACCAUAAGGAACCACUUGAGAGCCUUGGUUGGCCUAGGAUAGCCAUCCUCUGGGCCAGAGUAUAGAGCUGCUUGCCUCAGAACUCAAGUGUGGACAGAAGGGUGCAAUCACUCUCACCCAUAGUGCACCACAUGUUC